GUUUGUCUUUGUCUCUUGUGUCUGUUCAUUCUUCACCACCCCCAGCGCGGUCCUCAAUAAGUGGGGCAGCGAGCAGGGUCCGCACGGCCCUGUUGGCAUCCGCUACAUCUGCUCCCCUCCCUUGCUAGCCAGCUGAGUCCAGCGCAGGAACAGCACCCCUCUCCAACUCUCAAGCCAUCCAGCUUAAGUGGAAUUGAGUCAAGCUCCAGCUCCAGAGGUAGCUGUCAUUCAGAAUGGCCCAGUCUCCAGAAAUCACCUCUCUAUCCAUACUACGAAUACCAUGGUGGAUUGUAUACUAGUUCAAUACUUCUCUUAUGUGUGGAGACGCAACAUAGCACAGGGGUAAACAGCACAAACUACAGAGCCUGGCUCUUGAUCUUAACCUCAGUUCUGCUUCUUAUUAACUGUGUGACCUUGGGCAAGACACUUGAGCUAUCUCUCAGUUUCCUCAUCUGUAAAAUGGGAAUAACAGAACUCAGUAGGGUUGAAGUUUAAAUGAAUGAAUACAUGAAAAGCAAUCAGAACAUUCCCUGGCACAGGGUAAGUGCUAUAUAAAUGUUAGUUGUUAUUAUCGUUGUUGUUAUGAGGAUUAAAUGAAUAAAUGGAAAGUGUUUAGAACAGUGUCUGACGCAUAGUAACCCUGUAUACAUAUUAUCCAUUAUUAAAACUACCAAUUAUUGCAUUCACUCAACAAGAAUUUAUUGAUUACCUCUUCUGU